rnacentral:rRNA from 1 species
GUAGGGAAUAUUGGACAAUGGGGGCAACCCUGAUCCAGCAAUGCCGCGUGAGUGAUGAAGGCCUUAGGGUUGUAAAGCUCUUUUACCCGGGAUGAUAAUGACAGUACCGGGAGAAUAAGCUCCGGCUAACUCCGUGCCAGCAGCCGCGGUAAUACGGAGGGAGCUAGCGUUGUUCGGAAUUACUGGGCGUAAAGCGCGCGUAGGCGGCUAUUUAAGUCAGAGGUGAAAGCCUGGAGAUCAACUCCAGAACUGCCUUUGGGACUGGAUAGCUAGAAUCCUGGAGAGGUGAGUGGAAUUCCGAGUGUAGAGGUGAAAUUCGUAGAUAUUCGGAAGAACACCAGUGGCGAAGGCGGCUCACUGGACAGGUAUUGACGCUGAGGUGCGAAAGCGUGGGGAGCAAACAGGAUUAGAUACCCCAGUAGUCC